ACGGAAGGCAGCAGUGGGGAAUAUUGGGCAAUGGGCGGAAGCCUGACCUAGCGACGCCGCGUGAGGGAAGACGGUCUUCGGAUUGUAAACCUCUUUCAGCAGGGAAGAUAAUGACGGUACCUGCAGAAGAAGCCACGGCUAACUACGUGCCAGCAGCCGCGGUAAUACGUAGGUGGCAAGCGUUAUCCGGAAUUACUGGGUGUAAAGGGUGUGUAGGCGGGAAUGCAAGUCAGAUGUGAAAAUCAUGGGCUCAACCCAUGACCUGCGUCUGAAACUGUAUUUCUUGAGAGUGGGAGAGGUAAAUGGAAUUCCUGGUGUAGCGGUGAAAUGCGUAGAUAUCAGGAGGAACACCGGUGGCGAAGGCGAUUUACUGGACCACAACUGACGCUGAGACACGAAAGCGUGGGGAGCAAACAGGAUUAGAUACCCUGGUA
rnacentral:rRNA from 1 species